ACUCCUACGGGAGGCAGCAGUGGGGAAUAUUGCACAAUGGGCGCAAGCCUGAUGCAGCCAUGCCGCGUGUAUGAAGAAGGCCUUCGGGUUGUAAAGUACUUUCAGCAGUGAGGAAGGUGGGUAUGUUAAUAGCAUACUCAUUUGACGUUAGCUGCAGAAGAAGCACCGGCUAACUCCGUGCCAGCAGCCGCGGUAAUACGGAGGGUGCGAGCGUUAAUCGGAAUUACUGGGCGUAAAGCGUACGCAGGCGGUUUGUUAAGCGAGAUGUGAAAGCCCCGGGCUCAACCUGGGAACUGCAUUUCGAACUGGCAAACUAGAGUGUGAUAGAGGGUGGUAGAAUUUCAGGUGUAGCGGUGAAAUGCGUAGAGAUCUGAAGGAAUACCGAUGGCGAAGGCAGCCACCUGGGUCAACACUGACGCUCAUGUACGAAAGCGUGGGGAGCAAACGGGAUUAGAUACCCUGGUAGGAUAGCGU
rnacentral:rRNA from 1 species